AUGCUUGCCUUGGCAGCACAUAUACUAAAAAUUGGGAAAAUAGAGAGAAGAUUAGCAUAGGCCCUGCAUGAGAAUGACAUGCUUGUGAAGCAUUCCAAAAAAAG
ensembl:snRNA U6 U6 spliceosomal RNA